AUUGAACGCUGGCGGCGUGCCUAACACAUGCAAGUCGAGCGGCAGCGCGGGAGCAAUCCUGGCGGCGAGCGGCGGACGGGUGAGUAACGCUUGGGAAUCUGCCUGUUAGUGGGGGACAACCCGGGGAAACUCGGGCUAAUACCGCAUACGCACUACGGUGGAAAGCCGGGGACCGCAAGGCCUGGCGCUAACAGAUGAGCCCAAGUCGGAUUAGCUAGUUGGUAGGGUAACGGCCACCAAGGCGACGAUCCGUAACUGGUCUGAGAGGACGACCAGUCACACCGGAACUGAGACACGGUCCGGACUCCUACGGGAGGCAGCAGUGGGGAAUAUUGGACAAUGGGGGAAACCCUGAUCCAGCGACGCCGCGUGGGUGAAGAAGGCCUGCGGGUUGUAAAGCCCUUUCAGUGGGGAAGAAAAGCCUCGACCUAAUACGUCGAGCCAUCGACUGUACCGGUGGAGGAAGCCACGGCUAACUCUGUGCCAGCAGCCGCGGUAAU
rnacentral:rRNA from 1 species